UACGGAGGGUGCAAGCGUUAUCCGGAUUCACUGGGUUUAAAGGGUGCGUAGGCGGGCAGGUAAGUCAGUGGUGAAAUCUCCGAGCUUAACUCGGAAACUGCCAUUGAUACUAUUUGUCUUGAAUAUUGUGGAGGUAAGCGGAAUAUGUCAUGUAGCGGUGAAAUGCUUAGAUAUGACAUAGAACACCAAUUGCGAAGGUAGCUUACUACACAAUGAUUGACGCUGAGGCGCGAAAGCGUGGGGAUCAAACAGG
rnacentral:rRNA from 1 species